AUUGAACGCUGGCGGCAGGCCUAACACAUGCAAGUCGAGCGGAUGAAGAGAGCUUGCUCUCUGAUUCAGCGGCGGACGGGUGAGUAAUGCCUAGGAAUCUGCCUGGUAGUGGGGGACAACGUGUCGAAAGGAACGCUAAUACCGCAUACGUCCUACGGGAGAAAGUGGGGGAUCUUCGUACCUCACGCUAUCAGAUGAGCCUAGGUACGAUUAGCUAGUUGGUGAGGUAAAGGCUCACCAAGGCGACGAUCGUUAACUGGUCUGAGAGGAUGAUCAGUCACACUGGAACUGAGACACGGUCCUGACUCCUACGGGAGGCAGCAGUGGGGAAUAUUGGACAAUGGGCGAAAGCCUGAUCCAGCCAUGCCGCGUGUGUGAAGAAGGUCUUCGGAUUGUAAAGCACUUUAAGUUGGGAGGAAGGGCAGUAAGUUAAUACCUUGCUGUUUUGACGUUACCGACAGAAUAAGCACCGGCUAACUUCGUGCCAGCAGCCGCGGUAACAC
rnacentral:rRNA from 1 species